GCUCCCUCCAGGUCUCCAUGCUCAGGCUAGGGAAUGGGCUGCCCGUGCAGGGUGGGGAGGGGAAGCUUGCCGGGGACAGGGACCAGGCUUCUGGGGAGAUCGUGUGGGGUCUGUUCAGCAGCCCUGGCCCGGGGGAGGGGUGCCCCAGACAGCAAGACUACAGUUUCUGAGUGAAGCAUGGAGCCCCUUGGACGGCGAGGCCGUAUACACGCGAGCAGGGAGCGCGGGACAGUCUGGCGUGGGUGGGACGCCAUGGAGACACCACCUCCUUCUCCGUGGGGAGGCCCCGGCUCCUUGGCGGGUCUUGCGGCCCAGCCCCUGCGGGCUGACAGGAGAGGGCGCUGCAGGGCGGCCGGACGAUGCCCACGUCAGGCCGCGGGCGCGAAAGCCUUCAGCCACACUCGCCGAUCCAAGGGAUGGCCAAGGAUCUGCCCCUGCCCAGGCCCACGCCCAGCCUGGGGGAAUCAUUGAGAGGGAAGGCUCGGCUUCCCCCGUCACCUCGUCCACCCUGAGCCACGUCCACCGCGCUGGGGUUGGCCCUCCCGCACACUCUGGUGGUUUCCUGUCUGCGAGGGCUGGGGAUCGAACAUAGGCCUUGCACACCAUAGACAAGCACUCUCCCACUGAGCUCCACCCCGCUCGGGGGCCUCUGGACUCUUAACCAGCUUAGCCUCCCUCCUCUGAUCCCAGCACGGAAGUAAACAAAGACCAUCCAACCAACAAGGACUCUCGCUCAGGAGUGAUGCCAUGGCAGGACGGGGAGAGCUUCAGAGUGGACAGGAGACCAUUUCCGGUGUGCCUGGCAGGAGGCUUCCAGCCUAGGGAUCAGGAGGCAGCUACCUGGAUGCGGGACACCCCAUUUAAUUGGCCAGAGGAACAUAUUUGGCUUUUGCUUGGAAAAGAGGAUAAGUUGGAAACAGAGAGCACGGGAAGAGAAUAUUGUGGCUGCAGUUCUUGAAAACCCUGCCUCAUACUGUGGCUUUGGGAAGACAGAGAAGCUGACUGCAGGAGCUCCACCUGCACUUCCUGCUCCAGAUGCUCCCUCCAUGGAGACCCCUGGAAUAAACCAGAGUGGGGCCCCAAAUGCCAAGGAACUUCUUGCCAUCACCCAUUUCUGAUGGCUAUUGCCAGCCCCAGCAGGAAGAGGAGAAGCUGGACUGAAGGUGGUAAAGAAGCCCAGAAGAGGCUGCAGUCUCUGCAAAAGCACUGAGAUGCAAAGGCCCCACUCCUCUGAGCUGGUUUUGAACUUCUGGCUUCAGGAGAUCCUCUUGCCUCAGCCUCCUUGAAUAGCUGGCACUACAAGUAUGUUCCACCGUACCCAGCUUGCAUCAGUAGUUGAAGUAUUCUAGAGGCCAAGCCAGGAGGAGUUCAAGCCCAGCCUGGACUACAUAGAGAGACCCUGUCUCAACACUCACCCCGCCGAAAAAGGAGGCUUAGAAAAGCAAGGUAACUUCUUGGAGGUCACAUGGUACAUAGUUGAACUAGGACUCGAGUCUAGGUUUGGGGGCUCCCUGUCACAUGCCUUUUUCUGCCUCACCCUAAGGCAGGAGAGUCCUGGGGGCUUUGUCACUGUGUUCCCAUUCCCACCUAGAACAUGAUCCAGGCCACAUUAUGGACCAGCUGGCUCAGACACUAAUUGUCAGAAGAUGGCAUUGACUGGGCCAGGGAUUUAGCUCAGUGGUUUCGCCUCCUGAUGUGCAAGUGCAAGGACCUGAGUUCAAUCCCUGGUACCAAAAAAAGAAAAAAAAAAGAUGGCAUUAACUUUCAGGUUUUGGUGAUUAUGACUAGAGCUGCCAUAGAUAUUUGUGCAAAGAUUCCCAACUAGAGUGCUGGGGGACCAAAUCCUGCAUGCUAGGAAAGUGCUCUACCACUGAGCUACGUCUGCAGCCCAAGGUCACCAUUUUGCCUGCCCACCAGCAGUGUAUGUGGGUUUAGGGUGAUUCACAGCUUUGCCAGCGCUUGGUGCUGUCAGUCUUGUUAUUUCAGACUUCACAGCAGGACUUUGACACCAUCCAUCUAGGUAGAACCUCUGGCUAAGCUCCCAGGGAGGAGGAGAAAUGCCAAUUUUACAGAAAACUCAAGAAGAUCCAUUCACCUGCUUCCUGGGAGAACAGAUGGUAUUUUGCCUGAGGAAUAUGAAGAAUGCAAAUUUGCUUUCUCUCACUCAGGAUGGAGUUGGUGCUUAUAAAAAGAUACACAGACUAAUAAAUGCUGCCAGUUUGCAAAGCCAACUUAUCCUAGUUUUUUGACAACAAAAUGGUACAUCCUGCAAGAUGUUACUUCUCCACUUGAAACACAUUUUUCAUCAAGCCAAAUAAGUUGCCACAGAUGCCACACCUCCUUCUUACAUGUGUCUUCCUGCCUCUGCCUCCCAGAGUGCUGGGAUUACAGGCAUGUGCCACCAUGCCUAGUCCUACAAACUUCCUCAAACUGUGGAGUCAGGGUUCAUCUUGAUCUGUGUCAGGUCUGAAUACAGUGCCCUCUGGGUCUCUGCUGAGGCUGUCACGUGACACCAGAGUGAAGAGCAGAGGUGACCAAGGGGGAGUGGUCCUUCAGACCCUGGCUGUAGCUCCUAUUCUGUAUCUGGGAAGACUCCUAGCUCUGGCCUCUUGUGAACCCCAGGAAGGAUGGGACUUCUGAGUUCUCUCUGAGCUUGUCAUGCAGUGCCAAUAUUACACUGUGUACUACAUUAAAGGAGGCCUCUGAGUUUUCUUCUUGUGCAACAGGGUGGUCUACUUGGGGAUAAGAGACCGUGGGCCAUCAGUCCAAGGGGCAAGAGCAGUGGGUACUGCCUGGGACGAAGGGUUGCUCUUUCCAGCUCUACCAUUGCCUUGCUGCUGGACCUGAGCAAAGAACUUGACUUCUGUGAGCCCCUUUGGCUCAUCUGUAACCUGGCAGCUCUGCAGUCUGACCUGCCCAUCUCAUGGGAUUAUUGCAAGAUGCACAUGAUUGAGCAUAGAACAUUUCUGGAAAGAUGCAGCCAGCCCAAACUAUUCAGUGGCUUCUCUGGGAAACAGAAGAAGGAAGAGAGCAGAGAGGAGGUCAUGAGGAUUAACAUUUUCAUUUUCAAUCAAUUGUGAUUUUAUUUCAUUUUUUUAAUACAGGGAUUGAACCCAGGGCUUUACAGUGAGCUGCACUUCCAGCCCUAUUUAUUUAUUAUUUUGAAACACAGUUUCACU
ensembl:lncRNA